UUUUUUUUUUUUUUUUGCAAUUUGUUUUCGUUGGUGUGUAGUUCAUAAAUCGGAAAGAUGUUAUAUGUGUGGGAUUUCGUUAACUCAAUCUCUUUAUUGCAUGUUAAGCUUGUCCUGUUGCAUGGUGAAAUUGCUCUGUCCUUUAGAAAUUUCAGCCAAAAUAAAUCCUUUAGGAGCAAAUAUUUUCAUAUCCUUGGUGGCUGUGACUGGAUUUUCCCAGAUAUAAGAGGAUUUCUGAAUCAUCAUUAAAAGAAACUGUGCUGCCUGAUUAUUUAAGCAUAAUAGGAAGAGUUCCAUAGGUUAUUAUUUACGUCUAUCUAUGCUACCAUUUGCUGAAACUAUUUGCAACCUCAAUGUAUUUUGUUCAACGAAUUAUUUUCUGGGGUUUUAUUGGAAUUCAGUUAGUAGUUUGCAAUUGCAUAAAUUAAAAUUUAUUAGUUGGGGCAUUCCCUUUACUUCUAAGUAAUGCGAAUGUCGCAUCCAAUCCAUUGACGGUGGGGGUUAGGUUAGAUACUUGGAUUGGUUCUCAAGUUAAUCUUCUUAAUAAGCGUGUUUAUAUUGCACAUAUAUGACAUAUUUCUUUUUCUUUCUUCUUUCUUAAAUCCUAUUGAAUUUACCUUUUUUUCUCCUGUGUUGUAUUUUGAGGAAGUUGGACCUGAUUUAAUCUACUAGGUGAAAUUCAUUUGCAACUGUAAAAUAAUGAUGGUUAUGUGAUCUCAUUUGUUUUAUUCAUUUUGCGAUCAUUUUUCUCUCCUUUGUUUUAUGGAGUGUCUUACUGUCUAUUUUCUUCUCAAUGACUGCUUUUUAUAGGAAUGAACUGUAUUUCAUAGAAGCUUGAACCUAUUUUUGUUUCACACAUGAUAUAAUUCUUUUAGGCGCUUGAUAUAGAAGUGCAAUUUUGCCUGCUUGAGCUAAUUACUCUUUGUAAUCUUCAUAGCAGAAGCUUAAAUUGUUUGAUAAUUUCACCUUGCAGAUUUGUUAGAGGCAGGGGGGAAAUUGAGGGCACUGAUUUUCUAUUUCAUUUCUGGGACGCAUGGAUCAGGGUAUUAAACUUCUGUGCUGAUCAUUUUCUCCACUGUGCAAUGUACAUUAUGUUGGAGCAGUCGCAAAGUUUUGUUUUUUGGAGAAAAACUAGUGUCGAGUGGAAUCCUAGAACUGAGAUGUUUAUUUAGAAUUCAAAGCAGUGGGUUCUAAGUUCUAGUGGUCUUUUGUCAAGUUUGGACAUAUCGUUUUGUUUGGUGCGUGGGGAACUUGCAUUUGUAAUAUAGGCAUAACAAGACUCUUCUUAAAAGCAUAGAUUUCUUAUUUUCUUUUAUCUAUAUAGUGAAUAUGGUAUCUGAUUAAAGAGCUGCAUUUUCAACCAAUAUCAAUAAUUUAUCCGGUUGACUACCUAUUCUGACAAACCUAGUUAGUACAUAAUUGGAAUGAAAUAAAGUUUUUCUUGUCAGUGGAAAGGCAUUCUUAUUCUGACUUUCUUUAUUCUUCUUAUUCUAAAUCUCACUUGACUGUUGGUUUAACUGCAAAAAUUUAGCUCCAUUUAAAACUAACAUUCAGGCUCAUGAUUGGGUUGGGACUGGCUCUUUAGUUGGUCUAAUGUAGUAACUUUUUUAGUGGGUGAAUGAGAUUCCAGAUGCUUAUUACUUGUUAUAAAGACCUUAGGAAACUCGCGUCCUUUCAGCAAAUUUAUCUGGACAAAGUUGCUAAAGGUAUUUUGGUGAACACAGGGCACUCAACUAAUGCUGUGGAGAACAGGCAGAGCGAGUACAUUCUGAUUCGUGAUGCAGAGGAACCCCGCUUGGGAAUGUUUGACAAACCCCUUCCUUGUUUUGGAUGUGGAAUUGGAUGGUUUUCGUGAGUUUUUCUGUGCUUACUUUGAGUUUUAUCUUUCUUGCUUUCCCUCUCUCAUGGAUGUGCCCUCUUUUCUACAGUCUUCUGCUUGGAUUUGUGUGCCCUUUGAUGUGGUACUUUGCAACAAUUCUUUACUUUGGGAGGUACUACCAUAAGGAUCCAAGGGAACGAUCAGGGCUAGCUGCCUGUGCAAUAGCUGCUACGAUAUGCACAAUAGCUGCAGUGAUUGCUCUGCUUGUUAUUUUGUUGUAGUCCCUGCCGCCACAGUUUCAUCCUUGCAACUGCCACUCGUGUCAUAGAAAAGAUGAAAAACCAUGCUAUGCAGUUAAGAUUUUCAUCCUGAGUUCCAAUUGAAGGAAAAGAGCAUCAGUGCUAUCAAGGUUCUAAGUACGUAGCAUUUACUGAAUCCCUCUUCAGUCUUGUACAUAAAACAAACAAUGUAGAGUUUUUAAGGAAAAAAAAGCUACUGUUAAUACCAUUUUAAUGGAAAUAUGUAAAUCAGUGGAUGGGUAAUGAAAUUGUUUGUUGAUUUUUAUCAGGAUUAACAUCUAUAGCAUACUUGCUAACUUUCACCAGGGAAAGAUUUCAGAAAGCAGCAACUACCAUUAAUUCAUUGUAAGUACUAUUUAGUGAAUUGUCAAUGGAAAGAAGAUGAUAUUCGUUAUAUGAGGUAUGAAAUUGUUCAUCAAUUUCAUGAACUGAUGCCCCAAUAGCUUUCUGUGGAAUUUCAUGAAAUGACACAUACUAGCAGCACAUCACAGUUCUGCUGAUGCAUUAAUGAGCGCUAGCGGCUGCAACUCCUGAAAGUUACAUUUUACGUGAAGACGCAAAUGUAGUGUUUUUGUCCUUUCUCCAUGUGAAACUGAAGGUACCGAUAAAUUUUGAGUUGAAAAAGGUUGUUUGAUGGGCUUUGCAAAAUCUGGACAUGGUUUAUGUUGAGAUGGACUAGUUGGCUGUAAUAAAAAAAUAAGUUGCCUUCACAAUCCUAGCAGCAUCACUAUGGGUAAAUUGCAUUUUGAC
rnacentral:misc_RNA from 1 species